rnacentral:rRNA from 1 species
AGUGAACGCUGGCGGUAGGCCUAACACAUGCAAGUCGAACGGCAGCACAGUAAGAGCUUGCUCUUACGGGUGGCGAGUGGCGGACGGGUGAGGAAUACAUCGGAAUCUACUUUUUCGUGGGGGAUAACGUAGGGAAACUUACGCUAAUACCGCAUACGACCUACGGGUGAAAGCAGGGGAUCUUCGGACCUUGCGCGAUUGAAUGAGCCGAUGUCGGAUUAGCUAGUUGGCGGGGUAAAGGCCCACCAAGGCGACGAUCCGUAGCUGGCCUGAGAGGAUGAUCGGCCAAAUUGGAACUGAGAAACGGUCCAGACUCCGAGGGGAGGCAGCGGUGGGGAAUUUUGGAAAAGGGGCGAAAGCCUGAUCCAGCCAUACCGGGUGGGGGAAGAAGGCCUUGGGGUUGUAAAGCCCUUUUGUUGGGAAAGAAAAGCAGCAGGUUAAACCCCCGGUGUUCUGACGGUACCAAAAAAAUAAGCACCGGCUAACUUCGU